rnacentral:pre_miRNA from 1 species
GGUACAAUUGCUGGAUCAUAUGGUAAGCCUGUGUUUUGUUUUGUAAGAAACUGCCAGACUGUCUUCCAAAGCAACUCUACCAUUUUAUAUUUCCACCAGCAAU